AAUAGGAUUCCUCAAAAUAAUAUUUAUGUUUUCAUUAUAAAUUUUUCUAUUACGUAUUUUUAUUUUUCUAUAUUUUUUUUACAUUUUUAUUCUUAUUUUGUCCAUUUUGUCUAUCUGUCUGUCUUGUCUAUUUUUAAUUUUUCGUUAUCCAUACAAUUUUAUUAGUUUAUAUUUCUCUACUAUAUUUUAUUCACUCUUCUUUUGAUUCUUCUUGUUCUUCUGCUAGUUUCAUGGAUUACUUCCCUCAUCUGGGUCACUUAUAUCCACAGUACUGAUGCACUACACCUAAUUCUGCAUAUUGUUCAGCAGGUUUGGUUCACUUAGGGUUAACAUCUGCUCUCAGCAGGUUUGGUUCACUUAGGGUUAACAUCUGCUCUCAGCAGGUUUGACAGCCUGUGCUCUUGCGAUCCUGAAACACUGCCUCUGCCUCGCACACAGUGUUGACAGUUGCCGGGACAACGGGUCAUGUGACCAGACUGGUCUCAUGACAGGGAUCUCAUAUCUGGAAGUGCUUUCAGUCUCUCACGCAGGCGCAGUAACUAAUUACCCACGCUUGCAGCACCAUUACAUGGAUCAGGUUCACAUGGCUGCAUUAGAGUUAUAAAAAACAUGCACUUUAGGCACAAAGCUUUGCAAAUGUAAAAAUGUUUGUGUAGACCUCAUGGCGAGAGAGGGUGAGGAAAGGAGCAAGUUUGUCAUGGUUCCUGAAGAAACACUUCCAGCCUUCAGGAGGUCUGCAAGCAGAGUGAGCACAAUCCGUGUAUCCUAUGGAUUACUUCAUAUUUGGUCAACUACUACACUAACCAGCAUUUUUUUUUUGUUUAAUGUUAACAAAAUGGUUAACAAAGGCUUG